rnacentral:rRNA from 1 species
UACGUAGGGUCCGAGCGUUAUCCGGAAUUAUUGGGCGUAAAGAGCUCGUAGGCGGUUUGUCGCGUCUGCUGUGAAAACUGGAGGCUCAACCUCCAGCCUGCAGUGGGUACGGGCAAACUAGAGUGCGGUAGGGGAGAUUGGAAUUCCUGGUGUAGCGGUGGAAUGCGCAGAUAUCAGGAGGAACACCAAUGGCGAAGGCAGAUCUCUGGGCCGUAACUGACGCUGAGGAGCGAAAGCAUGGGGAGCGAACAGG